rnacentral:lncRNA from 1 species
GAUCUAGAUUGUGUAGUUUAAUAUUACAUAAUAUAAUUUAAUUUACAUAAUAUAUGUUAUUUUUUAUACUUUGAUAUUUGAGUUUAGGGUUUAUAUUUAGGUUUAGUGUUUAUAUUUGGGUUUAGGGUUUAGUGAAUAUAGUUUACGGUUUAGUAUUUAGAAGGUGAGGGGAUAUGGUUGGGGUCAGCAUUAACUUCUUCGAUGAAAUCAUAGACAUUUCAUUAUUUCACCAUUAUAUACCAUGCUAUUUAUUUUGUUCCAUUCUAUUUGGGUUUAGAGUUUAUUUUUGGGUUUAGGGUUUAGUGAAUCAUAUUUAGGGUUUAGUAUUUAGAAGGUGAGGGGUUUUGGUUGGGGUAAGCAUUAACUUUAAUUUCUUCCAUGAAAUCAUAGAUAUUUCAUAAUUUCACCAAUAUAUAACAUACUAUUAUUUUGUUCCAUUCUAUUUGGGUUUAUAGUUUAUAUUUGGGUUUAGGGUCUAGUGAAUAGGGUGUAGGGUUUAGUGAAUAUGGUUUAGGGUUUAGUAUUUAGAAGAUGAAGGGGUAUGGUUGGGGUCAACAUCAACUUUUUUCAUGAAAUCAUAGACAUUUCUUACAUGCAAUCGUAUACAUUUCAUAAUUUCACUAAUAUGUACUAUGUUAUUUAUUUUGUUCCAUUCUAUUUGGGUUUAAUAUUUAUAUUUGGGUUUAGAGUUUAUAUUUGGGUUAUGGUUUAGUGAUUAGAGUUUAGGGUUUAGUAUUUAGAAGGUAAAGGGGUAUGGUUAGGGUCAGUUUUAACUUCUUCAAUGCAAUCAUAUACAUUUCAUAAUUUUACCAAUAUGUACUAUGUUUUUUUUUGUUCCAUUAUAUUCUAUUUGGGUUUAGGGUUUAUAUUUGGAUUUAGAAUUUAAAUUUUAUUAAGAGUUUAGUUAUUAGAGUUUAGUGAUCAGAGUUUAGAGUUUAGUAUUUAGAAUGUGAGGGGGUAUGGUUGGGGUCAACAUUAACUUCUGUUAUUCAAUCAUAGACAUUUCAUAAUUUCACCAAUAUGUACUAUGUUAUUUUUUUUGUUCAUUCUAUUUGGGUUUUGGGUUUAUAUUUGAGUUUAGGUUUUAGUGAUAAGAGUUUAGGAUUUAGUAUUUUGGAGUUGGGAUAAUGUUUAGUAUUUAGAUGUUGUGAAUGUAGUUAUAAUUUUUAUUUGAGUUUGUUUAACGAUUGAGAUUUAAGAUUUAGUUUUUAGAUGUUGGGGUCGGAUAAUGUUUAGUACUUAGGUGUUGCAUAGUGAUUGAGAUUUAGGGUUUAGUAUAUAGGGGUUGGUUUUUUUUUUUUUUUUUUUUUUUUUUUUUUUUUUUUUUGAACACAUCAAAAUCAUGUCUAUUCUUUUGAUU